CAGAAUUUUCAGCAACAAAAAGAGGCAUAAAUCCCACACAAAAUUGAGGAUUUUGAAUGAAAUUUCUAGCUACGAAGUACUAAUCGAAGUCCGGACAACGCAUAGUCACGAAUACAAUUUCGUUUUGGAGUUGGAGGAGCUUGGGAGCAAGUGAAAAAAUUGAAGAUUUUGUUACUUGGAUAAAUACAAGAUGUAGAUUACGAGGCUACGAAUAAUCUUCAGUGGAUGGCAAGACAAGAAGUAUGUUGGAAGUCAAUAAAUUAUCCUUCAGGUGCAUACAGAUGAGUAGAAGACAUUGCUAGAAGAUGUUCCAGCGGGAUUGGCGAGCUCCAUUUCUUUCCGGAGUGUUGCCGAGUCAGAGUAUCCAUGUCAUGGUAUAAUGAUUUAUGUUAGAGACUUUGCAGACAGAGUCACGUAUUUAGCCUGCCAGUCUUGUAUGCGGCUAUAUAAGCCGAUGUAUUCAUUAUGCAUCACUUUACAGAUUUAUAUGAUUAUAAAUUUUAUUUGAU